rnacentral:rRNA from 1 species
GAUGAACGCUGGCGGCGUGCCUAAUACAUGCAAGUCGAGCGAACAGACGAGGAGCUUGCUCCUCUGACGUUAGCGGCGGACGGGUGAGUAACACGUGGAUAACCUACCUAUAAGACUGGGAUAACUUCGGGAAACCGGAGCUAAUACCGGAUAAUAUAUUGAACCGCAUGGUUCAAUAGUGAAAGACGGUUUUGCUGUCACUUAUAGAUGGAUCCGCGCCGCAUUAGCUAGUUGGUAAGGUAACGGCUUACCAAGGCAACGAUGCGUAGCCGACCUGAGAGGGUGAUCGGCCACACCGGAACUGAGACACGGUCCAGACUCCUACGGGAGGCAGCAGUAGGGAAUCUUCCGCAAUGGGCGAAAGCCUGACGGAGCAACGCCGCGUGAGUGAUGAAGGUCUUCGGAUCGUAAAACUCCGUUAUUAGGGAAGAACAAAUGUGUAAGUAACUAUGCACGUCUUGACGGUACCUAAUCAGAAAGCCACGGCUAACUACGUG